CAAGACUAAUAGCAAGAAUCGAAAAAAAAAACAAAAGAUGCCACAUCGAACAGGGCGAAAAGAUCAUGUGAACCUCAGGGAAGAGCUUCGGAUUAAAACUGGAAAAGAGCCUUCGAAACUAGACGUUUUUAUUCAUUCAAGACAAGGAAAACAAAUGGAUGAGUUGACUUCACAAACAAUUGCAACUAUGAAUGAGGAAAUACAAAAACUGCCAAAG